UUUAAAGAGAGUUUGAUCCUGGCUCAGGACGAACGCUGGCGGCGUGCCUAAUACAUGCAAGUCGAACGAACGGAGGAAGAGCUUGCUCUUCCAAAGUUAGUGGCGGACGGGUGAGUAACACGUGGGCAACCUGCCUGUAAGUUGGGGAUA
rnacentral:rRNA from 1 species